UGUGUAGGCGGGAUUGUAAGUCAGAGGUGAAAUCCUACAGCUCAACUGUAGAACUGCCUUUGAUACUGCAAUUCUUGAGUUUCGGAGAGGUCAUUAGAAUUCGUGGUGUAGCGGUGAAAUGCGUAGAUAUCACGAGGAAUACCAGAGGCGUAGGCGGAUGACUGGACGAAUACUGACGCUGAGGCACGAAAGCGUGGGGAGCAAACAGGAUUAGAUACCCUGGUAGUC
rnacentral:rRNA from 1 species